ACCACUUUGUGAUUCAUGACUGGGGUGAAGUCGUAACAAGGUAACCGUAGGGGAACCUGCGGUUGGAUCACCUCCUUA
rfam:Izhakiella sp. D4N98 NODE_54_length_1515_cov_496.773_ID_6714, whole genome shotgun sequence.